rnacentral:rRNA from 1 species
UACGGGGGGGGCAAGCGUUGUUCGGAAUUACUGGGCGUAAAGGGCGCGUAGGCGGCCUGGCAAGUGGAAGGUGAAAUCCCUCGGCUUAACCGAGGAACUGCCCUCCAAACUGCUUGGCUUGAGUCCGGGAGAGGUGAGUGGAAUUCCCAGUGUAGCGGUGAAAUGCGUAGAUAUUGGGAGGAACACCAGUGGCGAAGGCGGCUCACUGGACCGGAACUGACGCUGAGGCGCGAAAGCGUGGGGAGCAAACGGG